rnacentral:rRNA from 1 species
UACGGAGGGGGCUAGCGUUGUUCGGAAUUACUGGGCGUAAAGGGCGCGUAGGCGGUCCUGAUCGUCGGAUGUGAAAGGCCUGGGCUCAACCUGGGAACUGCAUCCGAUACGGCGGGACUGGAGUGUGGGAGAGGUUGGUGGAAUUCCCAGUGUAGAGGUGAAAUUCGUAGAUAUUGGGAAGAACACCGGUGGCGAAGGCGGCCAACUGGACCACAACUGACGCUGAGGCGCGAAAGCGUGGGGAGCAAACGGG